UUCAGUCAGUUCCUCCAACAACAAACAGGAAAUGUACUUUUCUUACAAUGAAACAAACUCAAAUAUGUGCGAACUGUCUUCAAAGUCCUUUGACUAAUGCUAAUGUGUUGAUGGUGGGCGGGGCUAAUAGGCUCAGUAUUUGGCAUUUGUGUGUGA